AUGGGGUUUAGUGCAUAUCAAAAGAUAUUGGCGGCAAUGCGGGUACUCGCUUAUGGCAUACCCGCGGAUUAUACCGACGAGUAUCUUCGCAUUGGGCAAGAUACAACCACGGAGUCAGUCCGUAGGUUUGCCAAGUUGGUCAUCCGGUUGUACGGUGAGCAGUAUCUUCGGGCACCAAACGAGGAAGAUACAAAGAGAUUAAUGGAAAUGAAUGAAAAAAGGGGAUGGCCGGGGAUGCUAGGUAGUCUUGAUUGCAUGCACUGGAGGUGGAAAAAUUGCCCAAAGGCAUGGCACGGAAUGUAUUGCGGUAAAAGCCGUGAUGCUACCAUUGUGCUUGAGGCCGUAGCAUCUCAGGACACAUGGAUUUGGCAUGCAUUCUUUGGGUUGCCGGGAACACUCAAUGAUAUCAAUAUCCUUAAUAGAUCUCCUUUGUUCAAAAUAUUAAUUUCUGGGGAUACUCCAGCUUGCAACUACAAAAUCAUGGACAAUGAGUACUCAAUGGGAUACUAUCUCACCGAUGGCAUCUAUCCCGAAUGGGCAACUCUUGUGAAGUCCAUCAAGGAGAAAAAUGGGGUGCCCUUAACUAGAAAAGAGGCUCAUUUCACCAAGGCAUAA
rnacentral:rRNA from 1 species